ensembl:snoRNA
AUGCAUGCGUGUGUGCCUCCCACACACAGAAAAAAUGGAACAGAAAUAGCAACUUGGAAGAAAACUUGGCACGCCUAAGGUCUUUGGGGGGCAAGGGAUGCCCAUUUCCUUUGUCCCACUUUGCCUGCCUGCAUAC